rnacentral:rRNA from 1 species
GAGACCUGUAUCCACAAUUGCUAACGACCAUUUAUGGGAUCGAGCACAUUGUGGAGACUGCUCUGGAAACAGGGAGGAAGGUGCAGGCUACGGUAGGUCUGUAUGCUCCGAAUCUCCUAGGCUACACGCGCGCGACAAUGGUAGGGACAAUGGGAUGCAACUCCGAAAGGAGAAGCUAAACCUCUAAACCCUAUCUCAGUUCAGAUUGAGGAUUGAAACUCAUCCUCAUGACGACGGAAUCCCUAGUAACCAGAGUUCAUCAUACUCUGGUGAAUAU